rnacentral:rRNA from 1 species
CGGAGGAAUCAUUACUGAGUUUACGCUCUACAACCCUUUGUGAACAUACCUAUAACUGUUGCUUCGGCGGGUAGGGUCUCCGCGACCCUCCCGGCCUCCCGCCUCCGGGCGGGUCGGCGCCCGCCGGAGGAUAACCAAACUCUGAUUUAACGACGUUUCUUCUGAGUGGUACAAGCAAAUAAUCAAAACUUUUAACAACGGAUCUCUUGGUUCUGGCAUCGAUGAAGAACGCAGCGAAAUGCGAUAAGUAAUGUGAAUUGCAGAAUUCAGUGAAUCAUCGAAUCUUUGAACGCACAUUGCGCCCGCCAGCAUUCUGGCGGGCAUGCCUGUUCGAGCGUCAUUUCAACCCUCAAGCUCUGCUUGGUGUUGGGGCCCUACAGCUGAUGUAGGCCCUCAAAGGUAGUGGCGGACCCUCUCGGAGCCUCCUUUGCGUAGUAACUUUACGUCUCGCACUGGGAUCCGGAGGGACUCUUGCCGUAAAACCCCCAAUUUUCCAAAGGUUGACCUC